GAUGAACGCUGGCGGCGUGCCUAAUACAUGCAAGUCGAGCGAACAGACGAGGAGCUUGCUCCUCUUACGUUAGCGGCUGACGUGUGAGUAACACGUGUAUAACCUACCUAUAUUACUGGGAUAACUUCGGGAAACCGGAGCUAAUACCGGAUAAUAUAUUGAACCGCAUGGUUCAAUAGUGAAAGACGGUUUUGCUGUCACUUAUAGAUGGUUCCGCGCCGCAUUAGCUAGUUGGUAAGGUAACGGCUUACCAAGGCAACGAUGCGUAGCCGACCUGAGAGGGUGAUCGGCCACACUGGAACUGAGACACGGUCCAGACUACUACGGGAGGCAGCAGUAGGGAAUGUUCCGCAAUGGGCGAAAGCAUGACGGAGCAACGCCGCGUGAGUGAUGAAGGUCUUCGGAUCGUAAAACUCUGUUAUUAGGGAAGAAAAAAUGUGUAAGUAAAUAUGCACGUAUUGACGGUACCUAAUCAGAAAGCCACGGCUAACUACGUG
rnacentral:rRNA from 1 species